UUUUGGGGAUGGGUUUACUUUUCCUUUGGUUUUAAGGGCAUGCGCUUAUAUGGGAAAUCCUAUUUUCUGCAAAAUAGUUCAUGGGCAUGCCUUAGAAAUGGGUUUUCAGAAUCAUCUUCAUGUUGGCAAUGAGUUGAUGGGCAUGUAUGCGAAAUUGGGUCAAAUGAGAGAUGCCCACAAUGUGUUUGAUAGAAUGGGUGUAAGAAGCUAUAUUUCCUGGAAUACGAUGGUUUCGGGAUAUGCCUUUAAUUAUGACUGCAAUGGUGCUCUUGAGAUUUUUAAAAGGAUGCAGUCUGAAGGUUUGGAGCCAAAUCUUGUGACAUGGACAUCACUUAUGUCAAGCCAUGCACGUUCUGGUUGGCUUAAGGAAACUAUGGAGUUGUUUGAUUUGAUAAGGAUGAGAGGAAUUGAGGUGAGUGCUGAAGCACUUGCUGUGGUGUUAUCAGUUUGUGCUGAUUUGGGUGUAUUUUAUCG
rnacentral:misc_RNA from 1 species